rnacentral:rRNA from 1 species
AGCGAACGCUGGCGGCAGGCCUAACACAUGCAAGUCGAACGAACCUUUCGGGGUUAGUGGCGGACGGGUGAGUAACACGUGGGAACGUGCCUUUAGGUUCGGAAUAACUCAGGGAAACUUGUGCUAAUACCGAAUGUGCCCUUCGGGGGAAAGAUUUAUCGCCUUUAGAGCGGCCCGCGUCUGAUUAGCUAGUUGGUUGAGGUAAUGGCUCACCAACGCGACGAUCAGUAGCUGGUCUGAGAGGAUGAUCAGCCACAUUGGGACUGGGACACGGCCCAAACUCCUACGGGAGGCAGCAGUGGGGAACCGUGCGACAUGGGCGAAAGCAUGACGCAGCCAUGCCGCGUGAAUGAUGAAGGUCUUAGGAUUGUAAAAUUCUUUCACCGGGGACGAUAAUGACGGUACCCGGAGAAGAAGCCCCGGCUAACUUCGUG